AAUUCAAAAUAUCUAGAACACUAAGAACAUCAUUCAUCCACAUCCAGAUCUCUAAUUCUCUCUCUUCAACAUCCAGAUCUCUAAUUCUAUCUCUCUCUUCACAUUCACCGGAAAGAGUAAACCAUCAUCACCCCCAUUCGAUCUCUCCAACACAGUACGGCGGUACAAAUUUUCAUCAUGUUCAUCUAGAACGUACGCACAAAUGUGUGAGAGAGAAUCAUUUUUGAAGAUCUUCAUCGUGUUCGUUGGACGGUUCUAGAUCCGGACUGGGACUGGCAAGAAACCUAACAAAACAUUAUGUGUGAAAUGAUGCAGAUAAAAACUCAAAAUUUAGGGAGUCUUCAAGUUCAGGGCAUAAUUGGGUAGAAGCAGUUGCAACCAAACGAGAAGGGAUCUUGGCAGGAAAAAAGAGAACUACAAUGUCGGAUACGACAAAAGGUGGCCAUAAAGCGAAAGAAGGUAUGGAGAAACCAAUGAAGAAUGGGAACAAGAAGUCGAUGAAGGGCAGGUGGUGGGUACCUUUGACGUUGCACAGAAGUUACCCUCUAGUGUAACACAUGUUACAAACAUGUGUUACGCAUGUUCAACCCCUUUGUUACCAAAAAUCGGGGCUGCACAUAUGUAAGACAUGUUUGUAACUUAUGUUACACUAGAGGGUAACACAUGUAUGAUCAUUUUUGGAUCAUUUGUAUAUAUUUAAGUCUGUAUAAACCUACAACAUCGAAACCCCCAAAAAGGUUACCCAUGUUAUGACAGAAUGGGAAAUGUGUAGCAGCGUUCAAUACUG